CUGAACCAGUCGUCGCUCCGCCCCUUCGUACCGCUAGAGCUCUGCUAGGGUUGCCCUGAGGUCCUCCUCGAGCUAGCUCAAAGCUCAAGUCCUACUUCCUGCACGACUUCCUGAUCCGUCUCCCGAACUGCUGUGCUUCGGGGCCCAAUGUCGAGGUCUGUGCGAACCCUUUUCCAGAUGGGCGAGGUCCUCGUGGUCAGCAAGGGAGUGGUGAUCCAACAGCUUAGCCAUCCGGGCUAGAAUUCGAACGUCUUUCUUUCAUGUUUCUUUAGGGCUAUGGCCCCUGUAUUUGUUGUUACCGGAUUUGUAAACUCUUAGUCAAACUGCUUAUCCUGCUUUUGUUGGCAUCGCGGUGUGCCUGGUUUUGUAGGGGUGACGUUAUGAACCCCAGGACUGCAUUGUCGAUUUAUCUAUGUGUGA